CCGGAACAUUUAAUUUUGUUCAGAAUGGAAGCUGCUGAAUUUUAUUAUUAUUAUUAUUUAAUUUGAUGGAAUAGGAACGUUGUUUCUUUGUCUCUUGUUUCGAGGAGUGGCAUUUCUGCGCUACAAAUUGAAGAUAUUUUGGGUCUUGUUCUUGGCCUGAAAUUGUUCCCUCAGCAUUUAUCAAUGCUCAGCAGCUGGAUCUGCAGUGUGAGUGAAGACACCCAGGAUGGCUCAGGGAUCCGGGGAUCAGAGAGCAGUGGGGAUCGCGGACCCAGAGGAGAGUUCUCCAAAUAUGAUAGUCUACCGCAAAGUAAGGCAUCUGGUUCAACACUGGGGGUGCUGCUGCAUGUCUGUAAUCUGUGGGGUUGAUGGUUGAUGGGCGGCUCGACAAAUGUUUUCUGCCUAAAUGGCCUUGACUGAUAAUUGAACAUAAUUUCCUUCUCAGACCCUCUGAUUCCCCAAGUUUAAAAUUCAAGGAAGCUAGGCUGGUAUCGAACAUUUGAAAAACAUUAUGUGGCUUAGUUUUCUUUAAACCAAAGAUUACCUAAAAGUGCAGAUGGACAUGUAUUGUCCUUUCGUGUAAAGGCCUUUGUGUAACAUUAAUUAAUCAAACGUUCUUCAAACCUAUAGUACUCAUAAGAUCUGUUCUGAAUGCUAAAAAUGCUAAAAUGCUAAAAGGACACAGAGGUGUGUUUGUAUUUGGUGCUUUACAGCUGAUAGGAGACGUAAGAUGUAUGCAGAUCACUGUUAUAGAGUCUAAGUGUUUAUUUCUGAAAGAGAAGUGCAGGUAGAGUGUUCCAUAAUCUCAGGGGAGGUGGCCAAUUACUUCCAACCUCAGAGAUCUGGCAUGGGCUGUGGAGGAGAGGCCUUUGAACUCAGUUUUAAAGGCUCCACAGGAUUCCUUUACGUGGAAAGCAGAAGGGUAGAGCAAUAUUCUAGGCAAUGAAUGAAAUGCUUUUGCAAAGGCAAAGAGCGGGAGUCAGUGAAGGGCAACCAGAACCGGUUGGCUUGGGCAAAGGAUGACUUGCAAGUAAUUGGAGUAAAUGGAGGUGAGACUUAGAGCAGAGUCUGGAUGGAGCCAAAUUUUAGAAUUUAAUCAUAAAAACUUUAGUGCCAAGAGUUGUACAAACAAUGUUUUUUGUGGGUUAUGAUCCUUGCCCCGGUGUGGCUGUUAUCCCCAAGUGGACUAUCAUCAAGGGUGGAUUGGAGGCUUUCGCAGGGGUGGCGGGGGUUGCUUCUAUAUCCCCCCUUGGAAGUGAGCAGGACUGAGCAGGAGGUUUAAAGAGUCUGAAUUAACAAAAACUUGGAAACAGAAUGAAUAUAAAAUCAUAAGGUGAAUGGAGAGUCAAAGAUGACUGGGUUUUUGCCC
rnacentral:lncRNA from 1 species